AGAGUAGGCCAAACGAUCGCUGGAUUUUUUAAAUCCGGAGGAAAGUCCGAACACCACAGGGCAGGGUGCUCCAUAACGUGGAGUCGCGGUAACGUGAAGGAAAGUGCAACAGAAAGUAUACCGCCCGGAAUCAAGCGGGUUCGUUUGGUUUCGGGUAAGGGUGAAACGGUGCGGUAAGAGCGCACCAGUUCCCCGGGUGACCGGGGAAGCUUGGCAAACCCCACCCGGUGCAAGACCAAAUAGGGGAGCGUUUGAGGGUGGCCCGCCCAAGCUCCCGGGUAGGUCGCAAGAGGUGCCGGGCAACCGGCAUCCACAGAUGAAUGAUCGUUGCCCGGCAGGGGUAACCCGAUCCGGGAACAGAAUUCGGCUUACGGGCUGCUCUGACC
rnacentral:RNase_P_RNA from 1 species